rnacentral:rRNA from 1 species
CCCUAGUAACUGCGAGUGAAGCGGGAAAAGCUCAAAUUUAAAAUCUGGUGGUCUCCGGCCGUCCGAGUUGUAAUCUGGAGAAGCGUUUUCUGCGUUGGACCGUGUACAAGUUUUCUGGAAUGGAACGUCAUAGAGGGUGAGAAUCCCGUCUUUGACACGGACUACCAAUGCUUUGUGAUACGCUCUCGAAGAGUCGAGUUGUUUGGGAAUGCAGCUCAAAAUGGGUGGUAAAUUCCAUCUAAAGCUAAAUAUUGGCGAGAGACCGAUAGCGAACAAGUACCGUGAGGGAAAGAUGAAAAGCACUUUGGAAAGAGAGUUAAACAGUACGUGAAAUUGUUGAAAGGGAAACGUUUGAAGUCAGUCGCGUCGGCCGAGACUCAACCUUACUUUUGUUCGGUGUACUUCUCGGUCGACGGGUCAACAUCAAUUUUGAUCGUCGGAUAAAGGCUUGGGGAAUGUGGCAUCUCUCGGGAUGUGUUAUAGCCCUGGGUUCACAUACGACGGUUGGGAUUGAGGAACUCAGCACGCCUUUAUGGUCGGGGUUCGCCCACGUAACGUGCUUAGGAUGUUGGCAUAAUGGCUUUAAGCGACCCGUCUUGAAACACGGACCAAGGAGUCUAACAUGCCUGCGAGUGUUUGGGUGGUAAACCCGAGCGCGUAAUGAAAGUGAUAGUUGAGAUCCCUGUCGUGGG